rnacentral:rRNA from 1 species
GACGAACGCUGGCGGCGUGCCUAAUACAUGCAAGUAGAACGCUGAAGGAGGAGCUUGCUUCUCUGGAUGAGUUGCGAACGGGUGAGUAACGCGUAGGUAACCUGCCUGGUAGCGGGGGAUAACUAUUGGAAACGAUAGCUAAUACCGCAUAAGAGUAGAUGUUGCAUGACAUUUGCUUAAAAGGUGCAAUUGCAUCACUACCAGAUGGACCUGCGUUGUAUUAGCUAGUUGGUGAGGUAACGGCUCACCAAGGCAACGAUACAUAGCCGACCUGAGAGGGUGAUCGGCCACACUGGGACUGAGACACGGCCCAGACUCCUACGGGAGGCAGCAGUAGGGAAUCUUCGGCAAUGGGCGGAAGUCUGACCGAGCAACGCCGCGUGAGUGAAGAAGGUUUUCGGAUCGUAAAGCUCUGUUGUAAGAGAAGAACGAGUGUGAGAGUGGAAAGUCACACU